CCUACGGGUGGCAGCAGUGAGGAAUAUUGGUCAAUGGACGAGAGUCUGAACCAGCCAAGUAGCGUGAAGGAUGACUGCCCUAUGGGUUGUAAACUUCUUUUAUAAAGGAAUAAAACGAGGCACGUGUGCCUUUUUGCAUGUACUUUAUGAAUAAGGAUCGGCUAACUCCGUGCCAGCAGCCGCGGUAAUACGGAGGAUCCGAGCGUUAUCCGGAUUGAUUGGGUUUAAAGGGAGCGUAGAUGGUUUGUUAAGUCAGUUGUGAAAGUUUGCGGCUCAACCGUAAAAUGGCAAUUGAUACUGGCAGUCUUGAGUACAGUUGAGGUAAGCGGAAUUCGUGGUGUAGCAGUGAAAUGCUUAGAUAUCGCGAAGAACCCCGAUUGCGAAGGCAGCUUACUAAACUGUGACUGACAUUGAUGCUCGAAGGUGUGGGUAUCGAACAGGAUUAGAUACCCUAGUAGUC
rnacentral:rRNA from 1 species